GCAGCCACUCAUUCAAAGAGUGCGUAAUAGCUCACUGGUCGAGUGAUCCUGCGCCGAAGAUUUCCGGGGCUAAAACUUACUACCGAAGCUACGGCAUCAGUAAUGAUGGGUAGGGGAGCUUCCCAUAUGGGUUGAAGCAUGACCGUAAGGACAUGUGGACAGUAUGGGAGUGAGAAUGUUGGCAUGAGUAGCGAGAUGUGGGUGAGAAUCCCACAGGCCGUAAACCCAAGGUUUCCAGGGGAAGGUUCGUCCGCCCUGGGUUAGUCGGGACCUAAGCUGAGGCCGAAAGGCGUAGGUGAUGGACAACAGGUUGAUAUUCCUGUACUACCGAUAACCGUUUGAGAGAAGGGAUGACACAGUAGGAUAAGCUAAGCACACUGUUGGUUAUGUGUGCCCAAGCAUUGAGGCAGUCAAAGCAGGCAAAUCCGCUUUGAUAAUGCUGGGAUGUGAUGGGGAGCGAAAUUUAGUAGCGAAGUAGCUGAUUUCACACUGUCAAGAAAAGUCUCUAUCGAGGUUAAAGGUACCCGUACCGCAAACCGACACAGGUGGGUGAGGAGAGUAUCCUAAGGCCAGCGAGAGAACUGUUGUUAAGGAACUCGGCAAAAUGACCCCGUAACUUAGGGAUAAGGGGUGCCACCAUCCGGUGGCCGCAGAGAAUAGGCUCAAGCGACUGUUUACCAAAAACAUAGGUUUCUGCUAAGUCGCAAGACGAUGUAUAGGAGCUGACGCCUGCCCGGUGCUGGAAGGUUAAGGGGAUCUGUUAGAGCAAUCGAAGCAGUGAACUUAAGCC
rnacentral:rRNA from 1 species